ACGGGUGAGUAAUACAUCGGAACGUACCCAGAAGUGGGGGAUAACGUAGCGAAAGUUACGCUAAUACCGCAUACGUUCUACGGAAGAAAGUGGGGGACCUUCGGGCCUCAUGCUUUUGGAGCGGCCGAUGUCUGAUUAGCUAGUUGGUGAGGUAAAGGCUCACCAAGGCGACGAUCAGUAGCUGGUCUGAGAGGACGACCAGCCACACUGGGACUGAGACACGGCCCAGACUCCUACGGGAGGCAGCAGUGGGGAAUUUUGGACAAUGGGCGCAAGCCUGAUCCAGCAAUGCCGCGUGAGUGAAGAAGGCCUUCGGGUUGUAAAGCUCUUUUGUCAGGGAAGAAACGGCUGAGGAUAAUACCUUUGGCUAAUGACGGUACCUGAAGAAUAAGCACCGGCUAACUACGUGCCAGCAGCCGCGGUAAUACGUAGGGUGCAAGCGUUAAUCGGAAUUACUGGGCGUAAAGCGUGCGCAGGCGGUUUUGUAAGUCUGACGUGAAAUCCCCGGGCUUAACCUGGGAAUUGCGUUGGAGACUGCAAGGCUGGAGUCUGGCAGAGGGGGGUAGAAUUCCACGUGUAGCAGUGAAA
rnacentral:rRNA from 1 species